AGUGAACGCUGGCGGCAGGCUUAACACAUGCAAGUCGAACGGCAGCACAGUAAGAGCUUGCUCUUACGGGUGGCGAGUGGCGGACGGGUGAGGAAUACAUCGGAAUCUACUUUUUCGUGGGGGAUAAAGUAGGGAAACUUACGCCAAUACCGCAUACGACCUAAGGGUGAAAGCAGGGGAUCUUCGGACCUUGCGCGAUUGAAUGAGCCGAUGUCGGAUUAGCUAGUUGGCGGGGUAAAGGCCCACCAAGGCGACGAUCCGUAGCUGGUCUGAGAGGAUGAUCAGCCACACUGGAACUGAGACACGGUCCAGACUCCUACGGGAGGCAGCAGUGGGGAAUAUUGGACAAUGGGCGCAAGCCUGAUCCAGCCAUGCCGCGUGGGUGAAGAAGGCCUUCGGGUUGUAAAGCCCUUUUGUUGGGAAAGAAAAGCAGCAGGUUAAUACCCCGCUGUUCUGACGGUACCCAAAGAAUAAGCACCGGCUAACUUCGUG
rnacentral:rRNA from 1 species